rnacentral:rRNA from 1 species
CACGUGGGUAAUCUGCCCUGCACUUCGGGAUAAGCCUGGGAAACUGGGUCUAAUACCGAAUAGGACCUUUUGGCGCAUGCCUUUUGGUGGAAAGCUUUUGCGGUGUGGGAUGGGCCCGCGGCCUAUCAGCUUGUUGGUGGGGUGACGGCCUACCAAGGCGACGACGGGUAGCCGGCCUGAGAGGGUGUCCGGCCACACUGGGACUGAGAUACGGCCCAGACUCCUACGGGAGGCAGCAGUGGGGAAUAUUGCACAAUGGGCGCAAGCCUGAUGCAGCGACGCCGCGUGGGGGAUGACGGC